AUUACUACAAAUAUCAUUC
rnacentral:snRNA from 1 species